rnacentral:rRNA from 1 species
GACGAACGCUGGCGGCGUGCUUAACACAUGCAAGUCGAACGGAAAGGCCCUGCUUUUGUGGGGUGCUCGAGUGGCGAACGGGUGAGUAACACGUGAGUAACCUGCCCUUGACUUUGGGAUAACUUCAGGAAACUGGGGCUAAUACCGGAUAGGAGCUCCUGCUGCAUGGUGGGGGUUGGAAAGUUUCGGCGGUUGGGGAUGGACUCGCGGCUUAUCAGCUUGUUGGUGGGGUAGUGGCUUACCAAGGCUUUGACGGGUAGCCGGCCUGAGAGGGUGACCGGCCAAAUUGGGACGGAGAUACGGCCCAGACUCAUACGGGAGGCAGCAGUGGGGAAUAUUGCACGAUGGGCGGAAGCCUGAUGCAGCAACGCCGCGUGCGGGAUGACGGCCUUCGGGUUGUAAACCGCUUUCGCCUGUGACGAAGCGUGAGUGACGGUAAUGGGUAAAGAAGCACCGGCUAACUACGUG